GUCUAAAAUAAUAAUAAACAUUAAAUGCCAGAUUGUAUGCAACCCUUGGCCUGAACGAGAGGCAGACUCUGAAGGCGGCCCAUGCCAUAUCCAACUGGAUGGGCAUCAUGCUGAAGUCCCAAAUCUCGCUGACCCGCACUACACCCGCCUACAAGCUGUUGCCCCGCCAGUGCCCCGGAUCCUACUGCAUCUUCUACCGCAUCUACAUAUGUGGACAGGCCCCAGGUGCACACUCUGGGCGAGGGCCACAAGCACGGGCAGCUCAACACGAUUGUGGGCUCGCUGGUGAUGUCGGUGGCCUAUCGAACCAAACUCACGAUUUCGCCAAUGACCGCCCAGGCGAAAAGCAAUUCCAGGUCAUGUCACGUUUCAAAGUUUCCAUUGAUGAGCUACCGGGGAAGAACGUUCAGAACCUGGAGAACCUGGUGACCAAAGGAGAGCGGGUGCAAAUCAAUCGAGUUCCUUGAGCACCAUGCUCGAGUUUAACAUGGUCAAUGGACAGCCCUUCUGCGAAGACAGGCGGAAAAUAAUCUCCUACUUAAGUGUGGAUAUACCCAAGUACUCAAGUACUUUGUUUCCGGAAAACAUAGGUGGAAAGGCGAUGGUAUUCGCAGUGGAGCAACGCCAACGCCUCCAUCGGUGGGAUCCACUUGUCCGUUGAUUUUACUUCUUUUGGACACACAACUAAAUCACAAUGUGUAAAAUCACUAACCAUACAACAUAUAGACUUCUCAUUUCAUACAA
rnacentral:misc_RNA from 1 species